AUGGCAAACAGCAGCUCGACCUCACCGGAGAUCACGUCGAGAUGUGUCAGGAUCUGGGAGCAGACCGAAACGCUGAAUUUCGAGAUGACCAGUUACCUGCAGCUUAAGGGCAUGGGUGUCGGCCAGUUCGUUGCUUCGCCCGCCCUUGAAGUCGGCGGCUACAGUUGGGACAUCAUGUUCUACCCGGGUGGGGCCGAGGAGGACUGUGGCGACCACGCCUCGGCGUUUCUCUACCGUCACAGCAAGGACACGGAUCCGGGUGUGACCGGCAGCUUCACGCUGAGCAUCCGAGAGAAAAGGAGCCAGGCAAACGUAGCCAACUUCGAUGCGGUGAGGCGCGUCUUCGCUGCAAAUUUGCCAUGUGGCCACCACAAAUUCGUGGAGAGGUCCAAGCUGGAAGCGCUGUCGCAACUCGGGGACGGCUGCUUCACCAUACGGUGUGUCCUCACCGUCGUCACCGACGAGUCGCCCUUUCCGGAGCUGCCCAGCCAACUGUCCAGCAACCUCGUGGGCAUGCUCGAGGACGGGAGAGGCGCCGACGUCUCGUUCCGCGUGGGCAGCCACAAGUUCCUCGGGCACAGGUGCGUUCUGGCCGCGCAGUCGCCGGUGUUCAGAGCUCAAUUCUAUGGCCCCAUGGCGGAGAAGGACAAGCCGCGCGUCAAGGUCGUCGGCGUGGAGCCAGCCAUCUUCCAGAUGAUGCUUCGCUACCUUUAUACAGACAAGCUGCCGCCGCCGCCCGCUGAAGGCUACAGCGUCGCGGCGAUGCAGCACCUGAUGGUCGCGGCAGACAUGUAUGGGCUGGAGAGGCUGAAGCUCAUGUGUGAAGAUGAGCUGUGCAAGACUAUGGAUGCCGCGACCGUUAUGAGCACGUACGAGCUGGCGAAUCAGCACCACUGUAAUCGACUCAAGGAUGCGUGCGUAGAAUUUAUGUCGUCAAAAGAAGUGUUGGCCGCCAUCCUCGAGACCUACGUGAGCUUCAUGACACGUUGCCGACCAUUGCCAUUGGAGGGGGGUCAUGAAGAGGAAGAAGUUGAUCACAGCAGGAAAUUCAAAAGGACUCGUACAAAAUAG
rnacentral:rRNA from 1 species